UGUUUCGGGUACAGCUCUUUCUGUAUCGCUACGUACACAUUCGAAAAGAGAUUCGGCUUCUGUAUAAGAUGAUUCUCGAACUUAUGAUUCUCCUGCUUGAGCUUCAUAUCCGUAUUCUUCUUCGGGACAAGAUGUUGACGCGCAUAUAAGUCUGGCUUGGACAAGAAGUUGAGUUACGAAAUCUAUUCUAUAACAGGUAAACACCAAUAUUUCAUUCAACAAGGACUGGUUUCGUCGAGCAGUAAACAAAUAAUUCUUCCACUUUGCCUGACACACUUGUUUCUAGCUUAGCAGAACUUCAUUAAUUGCCCCCUCAGAUUCUCCGGUAGGCAUGAUCUUCGACUGAAACUUACAAUCCGGAUCCUAACACUGGCCAAGCUACGUAUAGACAAGUUGAACUCCUUACUCAGGUACCAGUGUACAAAUUUGGGUAAGUAAACUAAUUCCAUGAAAUUCUUAAGUAAUUGCUUGCCGUCUUGUCGUCUUGUCUGCGUGCCUCCUAUUUCCUAACAGGAUUCUUAUAAGUAAGUAUUGGAUUUCCUAGUUGAGUGUCGAUUCCCUGUUCCGAGCAUCCACCUUGUUAUCCCGAGUUCUCUUCUUUGAUUUACCUGUUCGAUUCUAUCUUUUGAGCGGAAGUCCUUAUAGUCACCUUAUAGUCAGUAGUUAACCGCCUUGUUAUACGCUAGUUAAUCCAAAGAAUUUGGAAGUCAUAAGUAAAAGCCAGUGGGCAGGAAGCAAGGAUGCCAGGAAGGAGUA
rnacentral:lncRNA from 1 species